UACGUAGGGUGCAAGCGUUAAUCGGAAUUACUGGGCGUAAAGCGUGCGCAGGCGGUUUUGUAAGUCUGUCGUGAAAGCCCCGGGCUCAACCUGGAAAUUGCGAUGGAGACUGCAAGGCUUGAAUCUGGCAGAGGGGGGUAGAAUUCCACGUGUAGCAGUGAAAUGCGUAGAGAUGUGGAGGAACACCGAUGGCGAAGGCAGCCCCCUGGGUCAAGAUUGACGCUCAUGCACGAAAGCGUGGGGAGCAAACAGG
rnacentral:rRNA from 1 species